CGGCACGUGCGAUCGCGCGAACUUUCACGAGCGAGCGCGGUCACCAAGCCCUGACGAGUAGGAGGGUCGCGGCGGUGAGCGCAGAAGGGCUGGCCGCGAGGCCGUCUGGAGCCGCCGUCGGUGCAGAUCUUGGUGGUAGUAGCAAAUACUCCAGCGAGGCCCUGGAGGACUGACGUGGAGAAGGGUUUCGUGUGAACAGCCGUUGCACACGAGUCAGUCGAUCCUAAGCCCUAGGCGAAAGCCGAUGUCGAUGCGGUGUAGUUUUUACGAUAAAUAGAUAGAUAGAUAGAUAGAUAGACGAAAUUCGACGACUACGACGAAAGAAACAUUAAUUCGUCGUCUAGUCGUUGUUGUCGUCGUCGUCGUCGUCAUAAGUCUAAUUAAUAACGCGAGAGCACACACCCGUCGGGCGAAAGGGAAUCCGGUUCCUAUUCCGGAACCUGGC
rnacentral:rRNA from 1 species